rnacentral:rRNA from 1 species
UACGGGGGGGGCAAGCGUUGUUCGGAAUUACUGGGCGUAAAGGGCUCGUAGGCGGCCAACUAAGUCAGACGUGAAAUCCCUCGGCUUAACCGGGGAACUGCGUCUGAUACUGGAUGGCUUGAGUUUGGGAGAGGGAUGCGGAAUUCCAGGUGUAGCGGUGAAAUGCGUAGAUAUCUGGAGGAACACCGGUGGCGAAGGCGGCAUCCUGGACCAACACUGACGCUGAGGCGCGAAAGCCAGGGGAGCAAACAGG